UGGGCCUGGGACCAGGGGCGAGUGACCCUGGGGUAGCACAAGUCGUGGAAAACUCCAUGUUGCCUAUUCUAGUUUAAAGUGAGUGAUUUUCACCCUUCCCUCAAAACCAUUCUAACCUUGGUAGUGUAAAAGUGACUCCCUUCUUUCUGCCAACAUUUUUCUCCCUUUUGCUUAUGAGAAUGAUUGCAGUACUCCGGCAAAACUCUGGAGAAGAAAGUUUCUUAUGAUACAUUCUCUUCACCUCUCCCUCUCUCCUCCUCAUGUAAGACCCAUUUUAAAUAAGUCUCUCAGCACAUUAGGGACAGGAUCCAGCUAAGCCAUCACUUAAGAAUUUUAUUUCCAUCUUUGACCUAUCAGCCUUGUUAAAGAAAAGGCUAAGGGACAGAUCAGGGAAAGCAGUUGGAGUUGAUCCCAUAUCCUGACAUUUAGCUUAAGGACUUUCUAAAAAAGAAAAUGAUAUAGUUUUAUGUAGAAUAUGAAAUGUAAAAGAAGAGAACAAGGAAAAAUUGGCAUCUCCAUUGUUAAUAUAAUUUAAAUGAGGACUAAGAUAUAAUUGUCAAUUUUUCUCUCCCCAAACGCUCAUGUUAAAUGAAUACAUCUAUUUGAAGUCAUUUUUUAAUGUCUCUUCUUAGUUAUGCGACAACUUGAAAACAAAUGUGUUUUUUGAGGCACCUGGGUGUCUAGUGGGUUAAGCGGCCCACUAGCUCAGGUCAUGAUCUCGCUGUUCGUGAGUUCGAGUCCCAGGUGGGAUCCUGUGCUGACAGCUCAGAGCCUGGAGCCUGCUUUGGAUUUUGUGUCUCGCUUUCUCUCUCUGCCCCUCCCCUGCUUGCACUCUGUCUCUGUCGCUCUCAAAAAUAAAUAAAACCAUUUAACAAACAAAUAGGCAAAAACAAAUGUGUUUUCAUGGGGGAGGGGAGAAAGUUCACAUGUCAAAGCCAAAAACAAAUUUGUUUUGUAGACACAUGGAGGAAAAAAGGGGAACUAAUAUUAAUUUAGACCUAUCUUGUUCCAAACACUGUUAGGCACUGCUAUAUGUAUAUGUUACUUAAUUUUUUUUUCCCCUCAAAGCACCAGUGGGUCAUGGUUGGCAUUGUUCCUACUUUACACGUGAAAAUUCUGUGACUCAGAGGGUUGCAAGUAUUUUUUCUAAAGUUACUCGGCUAAUGAGUGAAAGAUGGGAUCUCAGGUCAGUCCAGUCAGCUUGGUUCCAAAGCCCAAGCCCUUUCCUUUCCUGUGUGUGUCUUCAGUGCAAACAAAAUUAAAUGAAGAGUCCAAUAUGUUGUCUGCUGUACUGAUAUGUUCUCUGUGAAUGGUGAAUAAAAGGUUACAACUGGUACCUUUUUCAUAUUUAUCUUUGCCAUAGACUAUUGGGAUAAGCUACUGCAUCUUUAAUCCCUUUUUCUUUUUAGAGUAGUCCUUGCUUUUUUGCCAACUGGGAAGCUGGUUUCCCUCAUUUAGAAUGAAUUCAAAGAGAGUAUGCCCAUAACUCAGAGAGCAUCCAUAAAAGUCUAGCAGUGGUGUACAGCAUGUAGAAUAAACCCUAGCCUCUCAUUAAUUAUCUUCCAUCCCCAAAAGGCAGACUAGGAAAGCCUAACACGUUCACAGACCUACCCAUUUGGAAUAAUUCUGCAAAGCAUAAUUUUCAUUGUAUGAGACAGUUGUGGGAUGAAGAAUUAGCGACUGGAGGACACAGAGUUGGUCUGCCAGAGGAUCUUGACAAAGUCUCAGCAAGGAGAAGUUGCAUUUCUGUUGUCCUGUCACGGUUUCCUGAUCCAUGGCAUCCUAACUACUGGCUUUUAGUACCUACUUCCUGUCUGGAAGAGCACUGAAUCUAUUUCUAGAUGUCUGUGUUUCACUGGAAAGAUCACUUCAUAAUAUUACACACAAUUUGAGAUUAAAAUGCCCAUCAAAAUGGAAGAAAAACCUAAAUUUGGGGGCAUGUGGAGCAUAGAGAUUGACUAUAGAAAUAUCCUCAGAGAAAUGUAUCCAUGGUAGAUACGGAACAAGCAUGAAUUAAGUGAAGAUUUAUUGGAUGGAUAAACGAACAAAGGCAAAGUGGAAGUUUGAUUGUCAUCAACCUGAUUGAUGAAUAGGAGAAUAAUUAGAAAUGAUAAGUCAAAUGACAUUUUUUAAAGUUUAUUUUUGAUAGAGAGGGAGAGAAAGAGAGAAUAGGGGAGGGGCAGAGAGAGAGGGAGACACAGAAUCCGAAGCAAACUCCAGGCUCUGGGCUGUCAGCACAGAACCUGACACAGGGCUUGAACUCAUGAACUGUGAGAUCAUGACCCGAACCAAAGUCAGACGCUUAACCAACUGAGCCACCCAGGUGCCCCACCAAAUGACAUUUUUAACUUUCACAUUUUCAGUCAAUACAAAAAGAUAUUGAUUGAGAUAAACAGCAAAAAGGAAGACAAGAUUUUCAGGCAAUCCAUUGGUUGAAACACUUAUAGCCUUGAUAAUAGCUUGGCAUAUUUGCAAAAGAAUUGACUGAAGUUGCCUCUCCUGUAACAUUUUAAACAAUAUACCUUCUGUUCCUUAAAUAAGGUAAUCGUGUUUCCAUUCAGAACAAACUCAAGUCACUUGAAGCUGUAAAAUAAGGGAUUGGGGAUGAAGUCUAGCAGAGAAGCACUGAAAACAAUAAAAUGGUCAUGAAAGACAUUUAAGGAUUUUCAGGUUUGUGAACUAUGUAAUAUUUUCUGUGAAGAAGCUUUAAGAAAAAAUUAUGUAACUAUGGACACACACAGUAUUCUAAUUCUGUAGAUUAUGAGGAUUGCCUCAGUUUUCCUGUCUCAAAUGUGGGUCACUAUAAUGUAUAGAAAAUGCUUAGCUCAAUACCUGACAUAGAACAGAUAUUUAAAAAGCAUUAAUUUAUUUCUUUUAGUCUCUAUUUUCUACUUAAAUCUCUAUCUGUAUGUUAUCUGUUAUAGUCAGGUUGAGGGUAAUAAAUAGGUAAUUAAUAAACAAAGCAAAAAGUUACAUGCAUAAAGUAAGAGGUAACAGUUGAGAUGAAACAUGGUGAGAAAUAUUUUCUUGUUGACUCAACCAACAAAAUCUUACAAUUAAAUACUGAGCUAUGGUUGCCGUGUCAGUAAGGUGUUUUCUUUCACUUGGAAUGGCUUCAGUUACUAUCAAGGAAAUGAAGUUGGCAGGUCUCUUAAAACGGUGCCCAUCUCCUAGUAAUUUCAAUACUAUUCACUUGGACUGGUGUUUAGGUUUCAGAAUUUCAGAUCAAAGUUUGAAUCAGAUGGACUCCUCCCUUGAAAGAGGAGAUCAAUACCCUCCCAUUACAUGCCUCCACCCCUGGAUGAUGUUGUCACACACUGUGGUGUAUUCACUGUGGCCAUAAUCAGAAGUGAGCAGCAGAUGCCCGUUGGUCUAAAACGUCCAGGGUGUAAGGUGUUGAGAGUAAGAUAUGCCUUUCAGUGAAGUGAAUUCAUUGUAGAAGAGGCACUUUGCACCCUGCUUGCAAACAGGCUUCCUUUACUUCCCUGCCUGCCUAAGAAGUGUCUCUCCUCAUACUUUUUCCCUCCUUCCCUCUGCGAGCCAAAGGAAGGUGGUGUCCCCAUCAGGAAGGCCUGAGCCCAGAUAUGUUCAUGAACACUUUGUGUCUGAGGAGGCCAUAGUGACUUCACAUGUCCAGUUGCUUUUCCACUCAGAUGUUCUGUGUCUUUGCUGAGGCUUUUUAAAAAAUGUUUACUUACUUAUUUUGAGAGAGAGUGUGUGUAGGGGAAGGUCAGAGAGAGAGAGAGAGCGAGAGAGAGACCCAAGCAGGCUCCACGUUCAGUGUGGAGCCCCGUUCAGGGCUCAAUUUGACUACCGUGAGAUCAUGACCUGAGCUGAAAUCAAGAGUCAGACACUUAACUGACUGAGCCACCCAGGCACUUCUUGUUCAGGCUUUUUAAAUUUUUUAUUUAUUUUUAUUUUUAUUUUUUUAUUAAAAAUUUUUUUUAUUACAUUUAUUAUUUAUUUUUGAGAGACAGAGCAUGAGCAGGGAAGGGGCAGAGAGAGAGGGAGACACAGAAUCAGAAACAGGCUCGAGGCUCUGAGCUGUCAGCACAGAGCCGGACGCAGAGCUCGAACCCACAAACCACAAGAUCAUGACCUGAGCUGAAGUCAGACGCUUAACCGACUGAGCCAUCCAGGCACCCCUGUUGAGGCUUUUGUAAAGGAAACUGUGAUCACAGAUGACUCCAGAACUGUAUGUAAUCAUAGACUGUCCAUGGAUUACCAAUAUUCAAAGCAUUAGAAUAUAAUAAAAUACAUAAAUGACUUUAAAAUUAUACUAAACAGAUUGUUUUUAUUUGGUUAUUCAGAAGGUAUUUCAGGUCUUUUAUUACUUUGGAGUCACCACUAAUAGCAUUAUAUGCUUGCUACACUCAGACACACACACACACACACACACACACACAUACAUACACACACACACACACUUAUCUGGGUAAUAAAAGUCUAAAGUUACACGGUUACACUGCCUGAUAUGGUAGCCAGUAGCCACAUGUGGCUGUUGAGCACAUGAAAUGUAGCUAGUUUGCAGCGAGAGGUGCUGUAAUAUUGGAUUUCAAAGACUUAGUAUAAAAAAAAGAAUUAAAAUAACAUUAAUUUUUUAGAUAUUAAUUAUAUGUCAAAAUAAAUAUUUUAAUAUUGAUUACAUAUGUAAAUAAGAAUAUUUUGGGUGUGUUAAAUGAGGUAUAUUUUUAUUUUUAUUAUUUUUUUUUAAUGUUUAUUUCUGAGAGAGAGUGUGACAGAGUGCAAGCGGGAGAGGGCCAGAGAGAGAGGGAGACACAGAAUCUGAAGCAGGCUCCAGGCUCUGAGCUAUCAGCACAGAGCCUGAUGUGGGACUCAAACCCACAAACCACAAGAUCAUGACCUGAGCUGAAGUAGGAUAUUUAACUGAGUCACCCAGGCGACCCAUAAAGGAGAUUUUUUAAAUUAAUUUUGUUUAUUUUACUUUUUAAUGUGGCUACCAUAAGGGCCCCUGCGCGGCUCAGUCGGUUGAGUGUCCGACUUCAGCUCAGGUCAUGGUCCUGAAGUUCAGUGAGUUUGAGCCCUGCAUCGGGAUCUCUGCUAACAAACAACUUGGAGCCUGGAGCCUGCUUCAAAUUCUGUAUCUCUCUCUCUCUCUCCCCCUCCCCUGCUCAUGCUCUGCCUCUCUCUGUCGCUCAAAAAUAAAUAAAUGUUAAAAAAAAAUUAAUGUGGCUACUAUAGGAUUGAACACUUCACAUAUGGCUUAUAUAGUAAUUUCUUUUGGACAGCACUGCCCCAGAGAAUUAUAAAUUCCCUGCAUGAGAAAACACCAACUUUGUAGCAGGUGCUUCCCCAGCAUCUGUGUGUAAAUGAAUAGGACUUUCACUUUUCUUUCCCAGACAAGUGCUGUAUAGUUACUAGACCUUUACAGUUCUUGCUUGUGCCUCUCUUUUCUUUACUGGAAAGAACAGUGAUCCAUCUCAAGUUAGUCAUCAUUAUUCCCCUUCAGAUUUCUUUCUAGAAUUUUAUCACCCUAGUCAGCCUCCUGGCUCAUUUUAAAUAACCUGUUUGGAAGAGGUGAAUUUAAUUAGCAUUGUGCCAUUAAACUAAUGAUUACCUCAUUCUCACUUCUGCCUGAUUUGUAGGAAUUAUUAGCUUAACAUUGAAGGGCAAACAAACCUCACACUUCAAAUAAUGUUGCAACUUCAAAUAAUGUUCUUGAUAACUUUUUCAUUUGCAAACUCUUUAAAUUGUAGCUUAUGAAGCUGAUACAGACUGGUCAUUUUGAAAACUUGUCCCUGAACAUAGGUUCUAAUCAUGCAGAAAAUCAAGACAGAGAGCUUCAUUAAUAAACUAUCAUGUUAAGAAACGUAAGUUCCCUGAUUUCCAGAAAUUUCCCAAACUUCAUCUUUAAAGAAUGCUUGCCAUUGAAUUUGAGAGGUGAGGUUUUCUAAAUGCAUUUUGCUUUUUGCCUUGAGUUUACUUGGUCACCCACUAAUAUUCCUAAUGAUUAAGAAUAUCUCCCCUUAGCAACAGUUCUAGGGCCAGAUAUGGCAAUCUAUUGUACACGUGGGUUGUUUAUUCUUUCAGUCAUUUACUGAGGACUGCAAAAGGGCUAGAAUUUGGAUGUAAGAAAGAAACACGGUCCUUGCCCCCAGGGGGGUUUACAUUCUCUAGCUCAGGUUCUUAUAGGAAAGUGGGGUGAGAACAUCUAAUCUAAUUAGAAAUAGAAAGUAAGGUGAUGGCUUCCUGAUCAAUUGAUGUUCAACUGGAGAACUGAGUAAAACUCGGGGGUUGGCUAGAGGAAGAGGUUUACGGGAAAGGGUGCCAGACAGAGCCAACGGUGUGUAUGAAGACCUGAAGUCUUUGAGAGCAUGGCAUCUUUGAAGUGCAAGAAAUACGCAUAUGACUGGACUGUGGAGUAUGAAGUGGAUGGUAGGUUGGAGAUUAUUUUUAAUACAACUUUGUGAGCUGUCUUUAAGGAGUAUGAAUUACCCACUGGUAAUUGAACCUGGGGACUGACCUAAUCAGAUUUGUGUUUUAGACAGAUACUUCUGGUUGCAGAGUAGUGAAUGCUUUGGAGUAAAUGAGUCAAGGCUGAAGGUAGUAAGACAGUUGUAGAAAGAUUUUGUUAUAAUUUAGGCUACCUAUGAUAAGUGCUUGUAUUAAGGCACUGGCAGCAAGAAUGGAGCAAAAUAGAUAUUCUACUGUUAUUUAAGAGACAGACUCAAUAGGACUUACUUGGUAAUUAUUAAAUGAGAGAGAUGAAAAAGGAGGUUUCCAAAGGUGUUACCCAAGGUUCCAACCUGGGCUGUUGGAUGGAUGAUGGUGUUGGCCACAGAAGACAUAGGAGUAAAUAUCUAGUAUUCAGUUGGAUGUAUGGGUCUGCUGGGCAGGAGAGGUCUGUACUGGCAAUUCAGAGUUCACUGCAACUGACAUAGAGAUGAUAAUCAAAACCAUGGGAGUGAAUGAGUUUAACUUGGAAACUCUAGGCUGAAUAGAUCAGAGGGUCCAGGAUAGAUCCAGAGGAUUCCUACAGUUUGACAAUUGGCUUGAGCAGUGCUGCUCAACUCUAGCUGAAACUUGGAUUCUCCUGCAGAGCUUUAAGAGUACCAGUUCUCAUCCUAAAUAAAUAAAAAUCUUUGCAGGUGGGUCUAGAUAGGUGUGACAUUGUGAUUUAUAGUAAGAAUAAUAUAUUUGCUUUUAUUCCCUGUUUUUGGCACAGAGCUCCUAAAAGUCUUGAAAUUUUCUAAGAAAGUUACAAAGGUGUUUUUGUUAUUGAGGUGGCUUUUGGACCCUACCUAAGGAUGGGGGCUGGUUGCCAGUGGAGCCAAACAUAUGAUUGGAUGGUUGUAAUUUUCUGUCCUACCCCCUAAUCUUCAGGAUGUGGAGUGGGGUUGGAGGUUGAAUCAAUCACAAAUGGCCAAUGAUUUAAUCAGAUAUGUCUGUGUAAGGAAGCGGCCAUAAAAACCCAAAAGGACAGGGUUGGGAGAGCUUCUGGGCUAGUGAACAGAGUGGAGUACUUAGAGAAAGUACUUUCCUCAUGCCUUGCCCUAUGCAUUUGGUUGUUCCUGAGUUAUAUCCUUUUAUAAUAAAUUAGUAAUCUAGUAAGUAAAAUGCCUUCCUGAAUUCUGUGAGGUGCUCUAGCAAAUCAAUCAAACCCAGGGAUGGAGAAUUUGGAACCUCUGAUGACCAGGUGGGCAGAAGUAUAGCUGACGACCUAGACUUUCAAUUGGCCUCUGAAGUGUCUGUGUGUGUAUGUGUAUGUGUAUGUGUAUAGGGGCACUCUUGUAGGACUAAGUCCUUAACCUGUGGGAUUGGGUGCAAUCUCUGGAUAGAUAGUGUUAGAAUUGAGUUGAAUUGUAGCUAGUGAAUUGACCCAGCUAGUGACAGAAGAUUGCUUGUUGGUGGUGUAGAAGCCACUCUUCCACCCCCACCCUCUACAAAAUGGAAUUGAAUGCAGAAUCCUUAGUAGGGCAUUAGGGUUUCCAAAGGUCCCCAGAUGACACCAGUAUUCAUCCAUGGUUUCUAACAACUGGAGAAGAAAAGAGGAGCCUGAGAAAAUGACUAAGAAGGAAGAGCCAAAGAGGUAGCAAGGAAAUCUGGUCAGUAUGGCAUUAUGGAAGUCAAAAGGUGAGAGAUCUUGAGAAGAGAUGAGUGGUUCGCAGUAUCGAAAGUUGCCAAGAGGUCAAGCAAGGUAAGAACUCAAGAGAUUUCAUUGAAUAUAGAGAGAAACUGUUCAUGACUAACCUUUUAGUCAGACCAAUUUUAGUGGUGAAGCCAGACUACAGAGAGUUGAGAAGUGAGGAGCGAGAAAAUAUUGGUAGCAGGUGUCAACAACUUUUUUUAUCUGGUUUCUUCCUUCAUUGAUUAAACACAUUUUAUUGGUUACUUAUGCUAGGUACUGGGAAUACAAAGUUGAGUAAGACUUUGAAGCUCGCAAAGAAUUCAGUUUAAAUGAUGAGAGACAGGUAAACGUUAGAUCAUUAAUUAUGAGAAUAUGCAAUAAACGUGAUGAUGGAGACACAGUGGGGAGAGGAAAUAGUUUGGUUGAUGAGAGAAGGGUUCCUGGAAGAGCAGAUACCUGAGUAGUUGAGCCAGUUCUGACCAGUUUUGACGAGAGUGUAGUAAAAGCUCAAUAAAUGUGAAAUGGAUGGAUACAUUUCUCAGAUUUGGGUGAUUCCUCUGCUGCACACGUGAGCAUCGUCCCAGGAGGUCUGGGCCAGCCUUGGUUUCCAGAGAUUCUGCCUGCCCAUACCAGGAAAUCUAAACAAUAAUGGGCACUCCUAAGAUAGGGAGCUUGGAACUGACCAUCUUUAAAAACAGGGUUUUUUUUUUUUUUUAAAGAUAGCUGGAAGCAUCAAAUGGGACCAUGGAAGUGGACUUACAGGUGGUCGGUCAGUGAAGCAGUGUGUUUGUUCUGAUAUCUGAUGUCUGUUCUGUUAACCCCCAAGAAUUGGGGGGGGGGGGAAGAAUUUUUUUCUUGUAAAUUAUUUGAAAUACUAUAA